CACAAUUUAUUCAAUACUAUCUCUCAAAAUACCUUGUUCACAACUACAAUUAAAAAUGAAUUCCUUCUCUGCAAACGCCGCCAAGAUGGUGUUCAGGCGCUUUGUGGAGGUUGGCCGGGUAGCCUACAUCUCCUUUGGACCUCAUGCUGGAAAAUUAAUUGUGAUCAUAGAUGUUACUGAUCAGAACAGGGCACUCAAGUGAGGAGACAGGCCAUGCCUUUCAAGUACAUGCAGCUCACUGAUUUCAUCCUCAAGUUUCCACACGGUUCCCGCCAGAAGUAUGUCCCACAAGCCUGGCAGAAGGCAGACAUCAAUACAAAAUGGGCAGCCACAAGAUGGGCCAAAAAGAUUGAAGCCAGAGAAAGGAAAGCCAAGAUGACAGAUUCUGAUCAUUUUAAAGUAAUGAGGGCAAAGAAAAUGAGAGACAGAAUAAUAAAACAUCAAGUAAAGAAGCUUCAAAAGGCAGCUCUCCUGAAAGCUUCUCCCAAAAAAGCGGCUGCUGCUAAAGUUACAGCAAAAAAAGAUGACCGCUGUGGGCAAGAAGGCUCCAGCCCAGAAGGUUCCUGUCCAGAAAGCCACAUGACAGAAGGCAGCACCCCCUCCAAAAACUCAGAAGGGUCAAAAAGCUCCAGCCCAGAAAGCACCUGCUCCAAAGGCACCUGGCAAGAAGGCAUAAGAGACAAUUAUAAAAAGUAAUAUGGCUCUUUCUGAAAAACAAAAACAAAAAUA